rnacentral:rRNA from 1 species
CCUACGGGAGACAGCAGUGGGGAAUAUUGGGCAAUGGGCGCAAGCCUGACCCAGCAACGCCGCGUGAAGGAAGAAGGCUUUCGGGUUGUAAACUUCUUUUAAGAGGGAAGAGCAGAAGACGGUACCUCUUGAAUAAGCCACGGCUAACUACGGGCCAGCAGCCGCGGUAAUACGGAGGUGGCAAGCGGUGUCCGGAUUUACGGGGUGUAAAGGGCGUGCAGCCGGGAAGAAAAGUCAGAUGUGCAAUCCCGCGGCUCAACCGCGGAACUGCCUUGGAAACUGUUUUUCUUGAGUACCGGAGAGGUCAUCGUCAUUCCUUGUGUAGCGGUGCACUUCGUCGAUAUAAG